rnacentral:rRNA from 1 species
AUUGAACGCUGGCGGAAUGCUUUACACAUGCAAGUCGAACGGCAGCACGGGGGCAACCCUGGUGGCGAGUGGCGAACGGGUGAGUAAUACAUCGGAACGUGCCCAGUCGUGGGGGAUAACGUAGCGAAAGUUACGCUAAUACCGCAUACGAUCUACGGAUGAAAGCGGGGGACCGUAAGGCCUCGCGCGAUUGGAGCGGCCGAUGUCAGAUUAGGUAGUUGGUGGGGUAAAGGCUCACCAAGCCGGCGAUCUGUAGCUGGUCUGAGAGGACGACCAGCCACACUGGGACUGGGACACUGCCCAGACUCCUACGGGAGGCAGCAGUGGGGAAUUUUGGACAAUGGGCGCAAGCCUGAUCCAGCCAUUCCGCGUGCAGGACGAAGGCCUUCGGGUUGUAAACUGCUUUUGUACGGAACGAAGAGGCUCUGGUUAAUACCUGGACUGAUGACGGUACCAAUCGAAUAAGCACCGGCUAACUACGUGCCAGCCGCCGCGGUAA